AACGAACGCUGGCGGCAUGCCUAACACAUGCAAGUCGAACGAAGUCUUCGGACUUAGUGGCGCACGGGUGCGUAACGCGUGGGAAUCUGCCCUUGGGUGCGGAAUAACUUCUCGAAAGGGAUGCUAAUACCGCAUAAUGUCGUAAGACUAAAGAUUUAUCGCCCAAGGAUGAGCCCGCGUAAGAUUAGCUAGUUGGUGGGGUAAAAAGCCUACCAAGGCGACGAUCUUUAGCUGGUCUGAGAGGAUGAUCAGCCACACUGGGACUGAGACACGGCCCAGACUCCUACGGGAGGCAGCAGUGGGGAAUAUUGGACAAUGGGCGAAAGCCUGAUCCAGCAAUGCCGCGUGAGUGAUGAAGGCCCUAGGGUUGUAAAGCGUCUUUUACCAGGGAUGAUAAUGACAGUACCUGGAGAAUAAGCGUCCGGCUAACUCCGUGCCAGCAG
rnacentral:rRNA from 1 species